rnacentral:tRNA from 1 species
GCCUGGGUGGCUCAGUCGGUUGAGUGUCUGACUUCGGCUCAGAUUGUGAACUCGCAGUUUGUGGGUUCGAGCCCUGCAUUGGGCU